UACGUAGGGUGCAAGCGUUAAUCGGAAUUACUGGGCGUAAAGCGUGCGCAGGCGGUUAUGUAAGGCAGUUGUGAAAUCCCCGGGCUCAACCUGGGAACUGCGUCUGAUACUGGAUGGCUUGAAUCCGGGAGAGGGAUGCAGAAUUCCAGGUGUAGCGGUGAAAUGCGUAGAUAUCUGGAGGAAUACCGGUGGCGAAGGCGGCAUCCUGGACCGGCAUUGACGCUGAGGAGCGAAAGCCAGGGGAGCAAACGGG
rnacentral:rRNA from 1 species